ensembl:lncRNA
UCAGUCAUUCCUAUGAUCGCUGGGACAUGGUAAGAGUUCACCGUGUCUUGGCAAGUUCCAAACAUAGCACUGAAUUUCCUAGGGAAAUAGAGAGAUGCCCAAACUUUACCUUUAAAAACUGUGGUAGUGGAGUAACUGAUAUGUCAGUGGUGCUAUCAAUAAGCACUGACCAAAGGAUGCAAAAUAGGACAGUGAAUUACAGUUUUGGUGGUGUGGAUGGACUUUGUGAGGUGACAGUUUUGUUUUUAGUGCUUUUGUUUCCAGUGAGCACCAGAGUAGAAGAUGAACAGAAAGAGGCUUUGGUAAGAAACUAAUUUGUCUGUGUCUAACUUCCAGUUCUACAAGAUGGGAAUUUGGCUCACGUAGAUUCAGAUCUGCACUGGGACUCAUCUACAGAGCAGUCCAGGGAGAAGAUGACUGAGCGAAUCAUGAAGAGGUUUCUCACCCUAUCUGGUGUCCCAGGUCACUGUGGC